AGUUAAUGUUUUGCCAACUUUCCCACACGACACCGUUAGGCGACAUUUGAUUCAAUAAUCUGCAAUUCCAAUUGUUUCUCCAAGCAAUCUUCAACAGCAAUGGCCAUGGAAGACGACGACGAGACGAAGAGAAGCAGAGAAGUGGAGACAACAAUCCUCGAGAAGGUGGGUGACGUCAUCGCCUCCAUCAACGACGUCAAACACGUCGACCAAGUCAUCGUCGCCCUCCACUCUCUCGCUCUUCUUCUCUUCCCUCUGGAUUCCCACUCUCUCUCAGGUAGCAUCGAUCGGCAAUAUAGAGACCAGGUUCUUAGUGCCAAAGUCCCUUCCGAAGAGGAGAGGAGUUAUUGGCGUCAGGUUUUCUACCGUGGAGCUGCAUUUCCUGCAUUGUCUAGGGUUUUGUUACAGGAUGUUGCUUCCAAUUGGCUAACUUGUUUCCCCUUUUCCGCAAAGAAACAUGUAUAUGACGUGUUCUUUGUGAAUGGGCAUGCCACUGAGGUUGUUCAGACUGUAGUUCCUUUUCUGCAACAGAAUGGAAGUGUUAGUCUGGAUACUAAUGCUGUUUGCUCAAAUGCUGAGAGAUUACUUGUACUUCACUUGAUUGAAAAUAAUGGGGUACUCCAGAUGGCUAGAGAAUUCGGUGGUGCUUGUCAAUCUCAAGAUCUUAACAAUGAACAGCUCAAGCAAGCUGUCUCUAGGAUGGCACAGCUUGUUACGUCCGUUCCUGACAAAGCACGAUUGAGAGCCCUAGAUUCACUUUCACCACAUUUGUUCUUCAAGCAGAUUACUGUGCAACUUCUUGCUGGAGCAGAAGAAUGGGAUAUGAGUCUAGGUGAUAGAGCAGACAUCUUCAAUGAAAAUGAUAUGGACGGUACCAUCCUAUUCGUUGGAGAAUCAUUUGCUCGCAUUUGUCGGCGAGGGUCUGCAGAUGUGCUCUUGAGUGAAGUGAUUCCACAAAUUCUUAAUCAUGUCCGGAGCGUUUUGUCAUCAAAUAAUGAUGUGUCUGUUGGCGAAUUUUUCGAGUCAAAGUCUGGUUCCCGGUUCUGGUUGAAGAUGAUAGAGGCAAUUAAAGACCCCUAUGCUGUAGAAAGAAUCUCCGAACAACUUUUGCAUAAAUUGGCAGCUCAACAUGCAAGUGAUGUUGAAGCUUAUUGGAUAUUAUGGAUAUUGUUUCAUCGGUUGUACGAGUCCCAAAUAUCAGUCAGGGCCAUGUUGGUUGAAAAGUUUUUACUCUGGAAAGUAUUUCCUCUCUGUUGCCUGAGAUGGAUCCUUCAAUUUGCUGUUCUUGAAUGCCCCCCUGAUGCUACUUCGCAGAGAAAAUGUCACAAUACUCGUAGUCUUGUAGACGCAGUGCAGCGUCUUGUAGCAGCAUGGUCUAAACUAGAGUUUGUGCAAUCAGCCUCAAUGGAGCAGCAGGCUUAUAUAACUGCAGCGGUAGGACUCUCCCUGGAGAAGAUGUCAAAAGAAGAUUUAGAUGCAACUAAGGAUGUGAUGCACUCAAUUCUUCGAGGAGUCAGUUGUAGGCUGGAGAGCCCUGCCCAUUUGGUUCGAAGAAUGGCCAGCAGUAUUGCUUUAGUCUUUUCCAAAGUGAUUGACCCAAAAAUUCCGCUGUUUCUUGAUGAUAGCUGUACUGGGGAGACCAUUGACUGGGAAUUUGGCUUAGCAACCACGGAGAAGGGUACUCUGGGUACCACAAACAGCAGUGAAGAGAAUAAUAAUAAAGUAAAAGCAUGUACUUCCAUGUUGCCGGAAAAUGAAAGUACCCACAAUGAGAUGGCCAAUAAUGUGAAAGGUAAAAAGAAGAGAUUAUCAGCAUUUAAGUUGGUUGAUCCUGAUGAGAUUAUUGAUCCAGCUACACUGAAUCAUGAGGCCGUUUCUGGUGAAGAUAAUGAGGAUGAUGAUGCAAGUGAAAUUUCUGAAACCUCAAGUGAUGCAUCAUUACAGCCAUAUGAUUUAACAGAUGAUGAUACAGAUUUGAAAAAAAAAUUCUCACAGUUGGUUGAUGUGGUGGGAGCACUAAGAAAAUCUGAUGACGCAGAUGGUGUCGAAAGGGCUCUUGAUGUUGCUGAAAACCUUGUGCGUGCGUCGCCUGAUGAACUGAAGUAUUUAACAGGUGAUCUGGUCAGAACACUUGUACAGGUUCGUUGCUCUGAUUCGACUAUUGAGGGAGAAGAAGAAUCAGCUGAAGAAAAGAGGCAGAGGGCGCUUGUGGCAUUGAUUGUCACAUCUCCAUUCGAAUCUCUUGAUAGUUUGAACAAAUUAUUAUAUUCACCUAAUGUAGAUGUGAGCCAACGGAUAAUGAUACUUGACGUCAUGACAGAUGCAGCGCAGGAGCUUGCUUAUGCUAGAACCGUGAAAGAAAAACGUCAGCCAAGAGCCCUCAUAUCAACCACUUCAGAGACUCAACCGUGGUUCAUGCCUAGUAGUGUAGGGCCUCCUGGAGCUGGUUUGUGGAAAGAGAUCCCACGAACAGGAACUCUAUUAAAUUGGUCAAAUUCAUAUGAGAGAGAACUUCCCUCAAAACGGGGUCAGAUCAAAAGAGGAAAGACACGCAGAUGGAGCCUCCAAUCAGCAAAUAUACAAGAAAAGCAGGUGGAAUGGUCCCAAAAUAAGUUUCCUCAAUAUGCAGCAGCAUUUAUGCUUCCUGCCAUGCAGGGAUUUGAUAAGAAAAGGCAUGGUGUUGACUUGCUUGGUAGGGACUUUAUUGUACUGGGGAAACUUAUCUAUAUGCUUGGUGUUUGUAUGAAAUGUGCAGCCAUGCAUCCAGAGGCAUCUGCAUUGGCCCUUCCCCUGAUGGAUAUGUUAAGCUCCAGGGAGAUAUGCCAUCAUGUAGAAGCAUAUGUCAGAAAAUCUGCCCUUUUUGCAGCUUCAUGCAUAUUGGUGGCCCUUCACCCCUCUUAUAUAGCAUCUACUUUGGUUGAAGGAAAUCCUGAAAUUUCUAAAGGACUUGAGUGGGUUCGAACAUGGGCUCUUCAUGUAGCUGAAUCAGACACAGAUAGAGAGUGUUACACGAUGGCUAUGACAUGUCUCCAACUCCAUGCUGAGAUGGCCCUUCAAGCUUCGCGAGCAAUGGAGUCAGUAGAAAGUACGUUCAACAUGAAGAGCAUCGGGCUGCCUUCCAGUUCUUUGAAGGGGACCAUUAAAAUUCCCUUCUCAAACAUGGAAUUCUGAAUUGAUGAUCAUACACCUGGAAAUCGCAUGGUUUCUUUCAUUUGAUAACAUUUACCAGUAUGUUUCAGAGAAGUUGAACGUAUCUAAUAGCUCGAAGUAGUUGCACGUCUUUCAAUCGGUUGCCUGAGGAAUCAGUAGCUCCUUGUUCUAAAUUACAUCAGGAAAAGGAAGAAGGCAUUGAUUUCAAAGACGGAACUUUUUAAUGAAAGAAAAUAGUGGAUCAAAGUUUCUGAAGUUUGCAUCAUUGUAAAUUCGAUGGUAUUUUAGGAAAAUUUGCAGAUUGUUUUAUAUUUCGUUAUGGGUCUUAAAUUAUAAAUCAUUUUGGUGUAAUCUUUUAGAAGUUAAUGUGUAAAAUUUGUGUACUCAGCAGACUAUAUUGGUAAAAAAAAAGAAAAGAAAUGAAGGCUUUAUCAUAUUCAAUUUCAAA